rnacentral:rRNA from 1 species
AACGAACGCUGGCGGCAGGCCUAACACAUGCAAGUCGAGCGCCCGUAGCAAUACGGGAGCGGCAGACGGGUGAGUAACACGUGGGAACGUGCCCAAAGGUACGGAACAACUCCGGGAAACUGGAGCUAAUACCGUAUGUGCCCGAAAGGGGAAAGAUUUAUCGCCUUUGGAUCGGCCCGCGUCUGAUUAGCUAGUUGGUGAGGUAAUGGCUCACCAAGGCGACGAUCAGUAGCUGGCUGAGAGGAUGAUCAGCCACACUGGGACUGAGACACGGCCCAGACUCCUACGGGAGGCAGCAGGUGGGGAAUAUUGGACAAUGGGCGCAAGCCUGAUCCAGCCAUGCCGCGUGAGUGAUGAAGGCCCUAGGGUUGUAAAGCUCUUUCGGCGGGGACGAUAAUGACGGUACCCGCAGAAGAACGCCCCGGCUAACUUCGUGCCAGCAGCCGCCGUAAU